rnacentral:rRNA from 1 species
CCUACGGGUGGCAGCAGUGAGGAAUAUUGGUCAAUGGCCGGAAGGCUGAACCAGCCAAGCCGCGUGAAGGACGAAGGUGCCAAGCAUUGUAAACUUCUUUUGUCAAGGAAUAAAACGAGGCACGUGUGCCUUUUGUAUGUACUUUAUGAAUAAGGAUCGGCUAACUCCGUGCCAGCAGCCGCGGUAAGACGGAGGAUCCGAGCGUUAUCCGGAUUUAUUGGGUUUAAAGGGGGCGUAGAUGGGUUGUUAAGUCAGUUGUGAAAGUUUGCGGCUCAACCGUAAAAUUGCAAUUGAUACUGGCAGUCUUGAGUACAGUUGAGGUAGGCGGAAUUCGUGGUGUAGCGGUGAAAUGCUUAGAUAUCACGAAGAACCCCGAUUGCGAAGGCAGCUUACUAAACUGUGACUGACAUUGAUGCUCGAAAGUGUGGGUAUCAAACAGGAUUAGAUACCCGGGUAGUC